rnacentral:rRNA from 1 species
UACGGAGGGUGCAAGCGUUAUCCGGAAUUACUGGGUUUAAAGGGUGCGUAGGCGGUCAGAUAAGUCAGAGGUGAAAGGUUGUCGCUUAACGGUAGGACUGCCAUUGAUACUGCAGGACUUGAGUAUGGUUGAGGUAAGCGGAAUGUGUAGUGUAGCGGUGAAAUGCUUAGAUAUUACACAGAACACCGAUUGCGAAGGCAGCUUACUAAACCAUCACUGACGCUGAGGCACGAAAGCGUGGGUAGCGAACAGG